AUGGAACUGAUGAUUAUUUCCCCAAAUGAUCGAAGCUGAUUAUACUGUGCUAACUAUUACAUUCCUCUUUGGUGAGGAAUCAUGCCAGUGGUGCUGAUCCAU
rfam:Punica granatum cultivar Dabenzi scaffold225, whole genome shotgun sequence.